rnacentral:rRNA from 1 species
GGCUCAGACGGAACGCUGGAGGCAGGCCUAACACAUGCAAGUCGAGCGGCAGCGGGUCCUUCGGGAUGCAGGCGAGCGGCGGACGGGUGAGUAAUGCCUAGGAAUCUGCCUGGUAGUGGGGGAUAACUCGGGGAAACUCGAGCUAAUACCGCAUACGUCCUACGGGAGAAAGCGGGGGAUCUUCGGACCUCGCGCUACCAGAUGAGCCUAGGUCGGAUUAGCUAGUUGGUGAGGGCAAGGCUCACCAAGGCGACGAUCCGUAGCUGGUCUGAGAGGAUGAUCAGCCACACUGGAACUGAGACACGGUCCAGACUCCUACGGGAGGCAGCAGUGGGGAAUAUUGGACAAUGGGCGAAAGCCUGAACCAGCCAUGCCGCGUGUGUGAAGAAGGUCUUCGGAUUGUAAAGCACUUUAAGUUGGGAGGAAGGGCAGUAAGCUAAUACCUUGCUGUUUUGACGUUACCGACAGAGUAAGCACCGGCUAACUUCGUGCCAGCAGCCGCGGUAAUACGAAGGGUGCAAGCGUUACUCGG